rnacentral:lncRNA from 1 species
AGCCGUCGGUGCACGAGAAGCCUUUUCUGCUUGUUGGAGUUUGAAUGAAGUUGCCUUCACUAUGACAAGCAAACACUUAUUUUAAUCAUGAUUUAAUAUUAUGAAGGAGAAACUCUUAAAGAGUUCUGACUGAUUUUCCACAGAGGAAUCGUUAUUCUAAAUCAAAAAGGUUGAAAACCGAGGACUCUGAUGACAAGUUACAGCAGUGGAGGAUUUUUUAACCCAGCCUACCAUGACAGCGAGACCUUGGAAAUCGAUAGAAGGUCUCCCAUUAAAACCCGUCACAAUAAUCCCUACGAUAGGGUAGACCCAGCAUGGCAGCCAGAUGUGACCAGGAGCACAGGGGGGGAACAUCUGGAUCACUGGCAGGAGGAAAACAGCUGGAGGGGAGGAGGAAACUUCCCCAUGAGCGUCUUCUCCACAGCCUCCAAUCCAUCAUGGCAGCACAACCACAGUGAGUGGAAGGACUUCAACUUAAUAUGUGACGUUAAAACUAUGAUCUCACCUGAUUUGUUCUCAUCUGUUUAAAAAUCAGGUGCCGCUACAUUUCAACCAGACUGUCAGUACGAUGGAUUUCCAACUGCUCGGUUUCCUUCCUCAUUUUCAGGUGAUCAAAUGUUAAGACCAAUAGAAAAAUGUGCCUUCAGACAUUUUCUUUCAAAGUCACAAAAAGAUCCUAUCUAGAGUAAAAAUUAUAAUUUCUCACACAAGAGAGUAAAACGCACACCUGCGUAGCUACGAGACGGUGUCGCAAAAACAGCCAUAAAGCAAAAAUGAUUACUCUCGUUCUGACACAGUUUCAUUUUACAUAGUUUUGUAGUUGAUCGCAAACAGUUUGAGAUACACUUUUAUUGUAUAUUAGUUUUAAAAAUAAUAUAUAUAUAUAUAUAUAUAUAUAUAUAUAUAUAUCCAUAAACUAAUGGACCACUCGGGGUCGCUCAAGGACCACCAGUGGUCCGCAGACCACACUUUUAGAAAGGCUAAUUAACGUAAAGCAAAGUUUAUGUGCAAAGAAAUUAUGUUUUGUGAUUUAUUUAUUUAUUUUUUUCCGCUCUCGUUCUUACUGAAGGGUGAUUAAACAGUUAUUUAUAGACCCACACUCUGAGCCAUACUUUGAAUCUGAUCAUCUCCAAGUGUUGAUUAUUCUGCUGCUGAUUGAAACCUUAACUCUCUCUGAUCAUUUCUCUCUUCUUUUUAAGUAGAGACAGCAACAUCUGUUCAACACACCACUGUGUUACAUAAAUGUCAACAUAGAAGUACAUAAAUGAUGCAUAUGGCCAUAAACCAUUGCAAAGAUGGCCAUGACGAGAUCAACUCUAAGUGUGGAGGUGGAUGUUGGAUUUAAUGUCACAGAUGAUUAUUAUAUUCAUAUAUUACUAUCAAAACUAAAAGAAAAUCUAGCUAGACAGAAAAUACCAUAGAGGAAGACUGAGUUAGCGCAGAAAUAAUAAUUUGAAAUUGUAGAAAAGUUGAGUCUGAGUCUGUAUAACGCAUUAUUGAAUUUACACAAAGUGAGGCAGCAAUACUU